CUAUCGCAAUCGUUUUCCUUUUCGCAUCAAUCGCUUGUGGGAAGCAUUUAGUAUUUGUUUACCCCAUAACAGUUAGGGUAACUUGACCUUUGGUUCUUAAAUGAAACAAACAUAAAUAAACACAGUUGUAAAUGACUCGAAACCGCUGUGAUGACAAAAGAAUUGUUUUUGAUAGGUGUAUUAAACUUGAUUCAGAAUGGAUCCAAAAUAUUAGCCACGAAUUGUUUUCAGUUUUAGCAAUUGAUUACAUUUCUCUCCGCAUUGUGCGAGCUUUUCCUGGUACCAUGUGCAUGUGUAACUGAAACACGAGAACAACAGAGCAUGAGAGUCAGAGCAAGUUUAGUUCCCCUGUGCCGCAUACCAGCAUGCAUGUAGUUAUAUAUUUGUGUGAAUGUUUGUUUUAUUAGUGCUUUGCUUUAAUCAUUACUUUUCACUUUUAUUUAUGAUAUGAACCAUCUAAAACAAUAGUCUAUCGUUGAACGAUACAUAAAUGGAGAUGUAUUUGUGUUGCAAGGAAAUAAAGGCAAGAGAUAAACUUCAUGAAACAAACCAUUGGAAGAGUGAUGGAGCAUAAACAACUGUUCCCAUAACGGCAUACCGGCCUAUGGUUGGAUAAUCAAUGUCCUCUUUUAAGGAUUCUUUCUCAACCUAAAUUGUUUUAGUUAUGACGAAGAAUUGAUUUGUAGAUAAGUGAAAGUGUUUUCUUCUGGUCUUUUGGUGUGUUCUGUGUGUGUAAAACGUGUUAGGAGUGUGUUGGGACAGGAUUCCUUGCGUUCCUGAUGCCCAUCUCUAUACGUAUACUUACCAACACUUUUUUGGUCAGGAAUUGUUGAGACAUUUCAGCGCCCACAUAGAGACUUCCAUAUACCGCACUGUUGGUCAAAAAGGGAUGCCUUUUAAAUAGGCUGCCCACAGCGUUAAACAUUCUAGACAUUUAUUUUUCGAUUAAUAUUCAGCGAUUCACGUGCAAAAACAAAUAUUGAACGGCGAUGAACGAAUGCCAAGGGUAACACAAUACAAACUGCUCGUUGGAAAGGCACUUCUCUACUGCUGUUGAAAAUCAAUUAGUGUUAAUGAUGAUGGGUCGUCCAUGGCACAUACAUAUGUGCGGUACUAUCACAAUUAUUUGAACGCAAUCAAGACAAUUUAUUAAAAUUUGCCAUGCCGAACAACGAACAUUACCAGUUAUGUGAGCUGAAACGAAGAGACUCGUCGUAGUUUGAUGGAGGAAAGGGGACUACACCAGUUUUGUUUAUUUCAACCUAUAUUGCAAUCUGGCAAUGCUAUGCAGAUAACGGCCAUAGAUAUUUUAUAUGUAGAUGUAAGAAUAAACGAAAUGGCAACCCUUCAGCUGCCAGAUGAAAGCAAUUGCUAGUUGCUCGUGAGUUGUUCAGCCUUCUGCUGUAAACUUUCGAAAAAGUUAAUCGAAUAAAUUGUCGUACAAUUUUAUGUUUAAUAAAGAUAAAUUUAAAUAGUUGUUAAGUUAAA